UACAGAGGUCUCAAGCGUUUGUUCGGAUUCAUUGGGCGUAAAGGGCGCGUAGGCUGCGGGGCAAGUCGGGUGUGAAAUCUCAGAGCUCAACUCUGAAACCUGCACUCGAUACUGCUUUGCUCGAGGACUGGAGAGGAGAUUGGAAUUCACGGUGUAGCAGUGAAAUGCGUAGAUAUCGUGAGGAAGACCAGUGGCGAAGGCGGAUCUCUGGACAGUUCCUGACGCUGAGGCGCGAAGGCCAGGGGAGCAAACGGG
rnacentral:rRNA from 1 species